AGAAAAACUCGUGGACAGCAUGGUCCACAGGGUCAUGAAGAGUUGGACAAGACUGAAUCAACUGAACAGCAACUUCCUGACGCCACGCCCAGCAAUCUAUCCACUGUGCCACCUAGCUGCCUUACUAUCCCCAUUUUACAGAUGAGGAAACAGAGUAAAUUAUUGCCCAAGAUCACACAAUGAGUUCUGGAGAUAAAAAGACCCAUACAAAAUAAGACUCUGGCCAACAAGCACCUUACAUCCUGUUGAGAGUCAAAGGUCCUCUACAGCAUGUAUACAGAGAGGUCUUUGGAAGAAUCUUGGUGGUUUACACAAAGAAGAAAAUGAUCUCUUUGGCUCCUUGCCCCUAUCUAGAGUUACUCUAGGAAAUUUUUCUGAUACAUUUGUGACAUAUCUAGGAAAACAACUGUUUGCCUCAGUUUCCUCAUCUGUAAAAU